UUGAAAGGGAAACGAUUGAAGUCAGUCGUACCGACGGAGGAUCAACCUUUGAAAGCGGGUCGAGGUAUUCGAGGAGUUUAAAAGCCCUCUUGCGCUCACGUACUUCGUUUUCUUUGGUGCACUUCUUCGUAUGGUAGGUUAACAUCAAUUUUGGACGUUACAAAAUGAUCGGGGGAAUGUAGCUUCGAUUUUUUCGAAGUGUUAUAGACCUUGGUAGAUGUGACGACCGGGAUUGAGGAUUGCAACGAAUGCUUUCGGGCUAUCCGUCUGACCUCUGGUGGUUGCUUUAGGGUCGAAAGCGUGCUUACGACUUUAAAGUUGGCUAUCAAAAGGCUAGAACGUGAUUAAAUUCGUUAAGGAUGUUGACGUA
rnacentral:rRNA from 1 species